rnacentral:rRNA from 1 species
UGCAAGUCGAGGGGUAACAGGGAGUGCUUGCACUCCGCUGACGACCGGCGCACGGGUGCGCACCGCGUAUGGAACCUACCUUUUGCAGGGGAAUAGCCCAGGGAAACUUGGAUUAAUGCCCCGUAGCACCAUUUUGCAGCAUUGCAUUAUGGUUAAAGCCUUCGGGCGGCAAGAGAUGGCCAUGCGUCCCAUUAGUUUGAUGGUAAGGUAACGGCUUACCAUGACUACGAUGGGUAGGGGCCCUGAGAGGGGGAUCCCCCACACUGGUACUGAGACACGGACCAGACUCCUACGGGAGGCAGCAGUGAGGAAUAUUGGACAAUGGAGGAGACUCUGAUCCAGCCAUGCCGCGUGCGGGAAGACGGCCCUAUGGGUUGUAAACUGCUUUUAUACGGGAAGAAAAACAGCUACGUGUAGUUGACUGACGGUACCGUAAGAAUAAGGACCGGCUAACUCCGUGCCAGCAGCCGCGGUAAUACGGAGGGUCCGAGCGUUAUCCGGAAUUAUUGGGUUUAAAGGGUCCGUAGGCGGGCCAUUAAGUCAGGGGUGAAAGUCUGCGGCUCAACCGUAGAAUUGCCUUUGAUACUGGUGGUCUUGAGUUAUGGUGAAGUGGCUGGAAUAUGUAGUGUAGCGGUGAAAUGCAUAGAUAUUACAUAGAACACCGAUUGCGAAGGCAGGUCACUAACCAUAUACUGACGCUGAUGGACGAAAGCGUGGGGAGCGAACAGGAUUAGAUACCCUGGUAGUCCACGCCGUAAACGAUGGAUACUAGCUGUCCGGGACCUUGAGUCCUGGCGGCCAAGCGAAAGUGAUAAGUAUCCCACCUGGGGAGUACGUUCGUGCAAGUCGAACUC